AUACGUAUGGGGCAAGCGUUAUCCGGAUUUACUGGGUGUAAAGGGAGCGUAGACGGUUUGGCAAGUCUGAUGUGAAAGCCCGGGGCUCAACCGCGGGACUGCAUUGGAAACUGUCAGACUUGAGUGCAGGAGAGGUAAGUGGAAUUCCUAGUGUAGCGGUGAAAUGCGUAGAUAUUAGGAGGAACACCGGUGGCGAAGGCGGAUUACUGGACUAUACGUGACGUUGAGGCUCGAAAGAGUGGGGAGCAAACAGGCUUAGAUGCCCUGGUAGUCCACGCCGUAAACGAUGAAUACUAGGUGUUGGGAGACAAUAGUUUCUCGGUGCCGCAGCAAACGCAAUAAGUAUUCCACCUGGGGAGUACGUUCGCAAGAAUGAAACUCAAAGGAAUUGACGGGG
rnacentral:rRNA from 1 species